GACGAACGCUGGCGGCGUGCCUAACACAUGCAAGUCGAACGGGGGUGAUACCUUCGGGGAUCACUUAGUGGCGAACGGGUGAGUAACGCGUGAGAAACCUGCCUUUCAGUGGGGGACAACAGUUGGAAACGACUGCUAAUACCGCAUAACAUACACGGACCGCAUGAUCUGUGUAUCAAAGAUUUAUCGCUGAAAGAUGGGCUCGCGUCCGAUUAGGUAGUUGGUGGGGUAAUGGCCUACCAAGCCGACGAUCGGUAGCCGGACUGAGAGGUUGAACGGCCACAUUGGGACUGAGACACGGCCCAGACUCCUACGGGAGGCAGCAGUGGGGAAUAUUGCACAAUGGGGGAAACCCUGAUGCAGCGACGCCGCGUGAGCGAUGAAGUAUUUUCGGUAUGUAAAGCUCUAUCAGCAGGGAAGAAAAUGACGGUACCUGACUAAGAAGCAACCGGCUAAAUACGUGCCAGCAGCCG
rnacentral:rRNA from 1 species